rnacentral:rRNA from 1 species
GAUGAACGCUAGCGGCAGGCUUAAUACAUGCAAGUCGAGGGGCAGCAUGAUUGUAGCAAUACAAUUGAUGGCGACCGGCAAACGGGUGCGGAACACGUACACAACCUCCCAAUAAGUGGGGAAUAGCCCAGAGAAAUUUGGAUUAAUACCCCGUAACAUAACGAUGUGGCAUCACAUUGUUAUUAUAGAUUUUUCGCUUAUUGAUGGGUGUGCGGCUGAUUAGAUAGUUGGCGGGGUAACGGCCCACCAAGCUUACGAUCAGUAGCUGAUGUGAGAGAAUGAUCAGCCACACGGGCACUGAGACACGGCCCCGACUCCUACGGGAGGCAGCAGUAAGGAAUAUUGGACAAUGGACGAAAGUCUGAUCCAGGCAUGCCGCGUGAAGGAUUAAGGUCCUCUGGAUUGUAAACUUCUUUUAUAAGGGACGAAAAAAGGCUUUUCUAAGUCGUCUGACGGUACCUUAUGAAUAAGCACCGGCUAACUCCGUGCCAGCCGCCGCUGUAAAAC